UCCCAGGAGAGCGGAGAGGAUGGGGUGUGUGCGGCCACAUCGCGGGAACCCAGUCCAGGGCCCUGCAGCGGCCCCACGGCGCCCCCCAGGGGCGAGAAGCAGAGGUGCAGGAGCCGGAGUUCUUUUAUUUCACAUAAAAAAAAAUAAAAGCAGAGACACGCAA